CAAACACCAGUCUCCAUGUGAUCAUAAGAGUUAAGCAACAUAGAGCCUGGUUAGUACCAAGAUGGGUGACCACUUGGGAAUACCAGGUGCUGUGA